AUGAAUGCUAGGUGUGGGAUCGAAUGGUUCCGUGCCGGAGCGUACGCGAUAAGCAUUCCGCCUGGGGAGUACGGCCGCAAGGUUUAACUCAAACGAAUUGACGGGGCCCCGCACAAUCAGCGGAGCGUGUGGUUUAAUUCGAUGGUACACGAAGAACCUUACCUGGGUUUGACAUGUAGGUGGUAGUGAAUCGAAAGGUGAACGACCCUUCGGGGAGCCUACACAAGUGCUGCAUGGCUGUCGUCAGCUCGUGCCGUGAGGUGUCGGGUUAAGUCCCGUAACGAGCGCAACCCUUGCUCCUAGUUACAAGUGUCUAGGGGGACUGCCGGCGGAAAGCCGGAGGAAGGUGGGGAUUACGUCAAGUUAGCAUGGCCCUUAUAUCCAGGGCUACACACACGCUACAAUGGUCGGUACAAAGGGCAGCGAAACCGCGAGGCGGAGCGAAUCCGAGAAAAGCCGAUCGUAGUUCGGAUAGCAGGCUGCAACCCGCCUGCUUGAAGCUGGAGUUGCUAGUAACCGCGCGUCAGCCAUAGCGCGGUGAUACGUUCCCGGGGCUUGUACACACCGCCCGUCACGUCAUGGGAGUCGGUAACGCAUGAAGCCGGUAGUCUAACUGGUAACAGGAGACGCUGUCGAGGG
rnacentral:rRNA from 1 species